GCAGCCUCCAACUCCUGAAUUCAAGCAAUCUUCCCAUCUCAGCCUCCUGAGUAGCUGAGACUACAGCUGGGAUUACAGGCAUGAGCCACCGCACCCGGCCUGUUAUACAUAUCUUUAACAUUAAAAUUUGUUCCUAUGUGGUAAGAACAGUAAAAGGAGUAAUAAAAUUGCCAAAAUAAGUUGUGAUUUUCCAAGAGAUGACUGUGCUUUGCAUUACUGUGAAACACUGAAAACACUGCUAAAUGACCUAUGCGUAACACACACCCAUGCUAUCUUCUUACUCUUGCCCCAGUACAUCCAUAUGCAUUGCUCUAACAGUGUGCAAGCUGUUCUUCUGAGUUUAUUUUAUGAUAAGCGUAUUGAAUACAUUAUCUCAAAUCUGUGUAAGCAUCCUGCUUAUAAGAAUCUCAAGCAAUGAAUAAAAAGAAAAGCCUUAUGUUUUAAGGAGAAAAUGAAAUAAUAAAAUAUUUUGAAACAAAUGAGAGAACUUGCAGGCCUGAAGGAAUCCACAUUGCCCAUUUAGAUUUAGAGAUUUAGAAACAAGGCUAAGAAAAUAAAAGAAAGGAAAACUCUUACAUCAUAGUUAUCUGCUUCCAGUGGAAUUGAGAAGCAUUUGGAAGAGACUGAAGACAAAGAAAGACUCUAAUGCUGAACAAUGAGUGUGGAUGAGGCCGGGCGUGGUGGCUCAUGCCUGUAAUCCCAGCGCUUUGGGAGGCCGAGGUAGGCAGAUCACUUGAGGUCAGGAGUUUGAGACCAGCCUAGCCCGGCCAACAUAGUGAAACCCUGCCCGUACUAAAAAUACAAAAAUUAGCCAGGCUUGGUGGCGGGUGCCUGUAAUCCCAGCUCCUUGGAAGGCUGAGGCAGGAGAAUCGCUUGAACCCGGGAGGUGGAGGUUGCAGUGAGCGAAGAUGUCACCACUGCACUCCAGCGUGGGUGACAGAGCGAGACUCUGUCUCGAGAAAAAAAAAGGGCUGUGGGGGGGGCUAUCAUUUUAACCUAGUAGAUUGGCAAAGACUAUUUUUUAAAAAUAUUUAAAAUAGGGAGCCCGAGGCGGGCAGAUCACGAGCUCAGGAGAUCGAGACCAUCCUGGCUACUAACAUGGUGAAACCCCGUCUGUACCGAAAAUACAAAAAAUUACCCGGGCGUGGUGGCGGGCGCCUGUGGUCCCGCCUACUCGGGAGGCUGAGGCAGGAGAAUGGUGC
rnacentral:lncRNA from 1 species